CACGUAGGGCGCGAGCGUUGUCCGGAUUCACUGGGUUUAAAGGGUGCGUAGGUGGGUCUGUAAGUCCGUGGUGAAAUCUCCGAGCUUAACUUGGAAACUGCCAUGGAUACUAUAGAUCUUGAAUACUGUGGAGGUUAGCGGAAUAUGUCAUGUAGCGGUGAAAUGCUUAGAUAUGACAUAGAACACCAAUUGCGAAGGCAGCUGGCUACACAAAUAUUGACACUGAUGCACGAAAGCGUGGGGAUCAAACAGG
rnacentral:rRNA from 1 species